GAUGUGGACUUUUUUACAACUUCUCAAGAAUACCAUCUAGGCCAUUAUAUGUAUAAGGACUUCAUGUUAUUUUCUGAUAACUAGAUAUGACCUUGAUUAAUCUUUUAUGGGUUCAAGAGACUUUUCUAGGAUUUUUAGAGCUGCUAUGUAAAAUCUCUAUGGGAGUUUUGAAUGAUAUGAUGCGAUUUUUAAAUUGGUGGAUGUGGAUUUUUGGUGGUUUGAACUGUGCAACUCUUGUUCUGUAGCCGUAUGUAAGUUUACACAAUGUAUUAUUCAAUUGUUCUGGUGGUACUAAUUCGCUUUUCUAUUCGAGUUGUCUAGAGGAGAAACAGUGGGUGAUGUAAAGUGUAAACCAUAAGAUUUGAGUGAGAUGGAUGAAAUGGAGGAGUGUUUUGGGUGUUAUCUGUGAUAUUAAGUUGAAUAUUGGGUGGUAACAACACAAAAGAAUAAUUUCAAUGUGAUAGAGAUUGUAAUGUUGCAUUGGAUGAAUGGGCAUACCAGGUAAGAUAGGAUUGGUAAUGAAUAAAAUAUUUCCUUACGUGGCUUUGAUAUUUGUGGAGAAGACUUGUAGAAAGCCCUAGUAAGGAAAAUAGAUUAGAUAAAGGGUAGCUUAAUGCUAGAGAUCAAGAAAAACCACUGGCAAAACCUAACAAAAUAUUAUGUCAAUAGAUUGUCUAUACACUACUAAAUACAUAUACACUACUAAAUACAUGAUUUUCAACAAAACAUGAUGACAUCAUUUGAACCAUGUAGCAGACCUGUGCAACUGGGAACAGGCUUUCUUUGCUGUUUUUUCCAGAUUACUAAAGACUAUUAUGUGUUAUUGUUUGGUACAUCCAAGUCUAAUUUAAAAAUCUCAUUUCCUGCUAGCUACCCUUAGGAUAGCUAGAUGAUAUGGUUAUGAGUUAUUGAGUCUCACAAGUACGACUGGAAUCUGUGUAUUUAUAGUAAUACAAUCCACUGAUGCCUGCUUCUUGGUGUAUGUUCUGAUUUGAGUAGCUUCCUUGUACAGUAUAGUGGAAAUAUUUCAUGUAAUUAUUGUUUGAUGUCUUGGAUUCAACAAUUCCUUUCUUAACCUUUGUGCUUGAGUUUUCGAGAUAACAAAUCAAUGGCACUCACUUGAAAUAGGCAUUGGUUUGUAAUUUAUGGUGGUCAAUAUGUAAUAAAUAUACAACCCACAAAUAGACAUACAGUGUCUAUCAUAUUUCAUUUUCAGUUGCUGAUCCAGAGAAUAUCUAGUUUUUUUCUAGAUA